UACGUAGGGUGCAAGCGUUAAUCGGAAUUACUGGGCGUAAAGCGUGCGCAGGCGGUGAUGUAAGACAGGUGUGAAAUCCCCGGGCUUAACCUGGGAACUGCAUUUGUGACUGCAUCGCUGGAGUGCGGCAGAGGGGGAUGGAAUUCCGCGUGUAGCAGUGAAAUGCGUAGAUAUCGGGAGGAACAUCAGUGGCGAAGGCGGCUGCCUGGCCCAAUACUGACACUCAGGUGCGACAGCGUGGGGAGCAAACAGG
rnacentral:rRNA from 1 species